rnacentral:lncRNA from 1 species
UAUACUGGUUUAUACUGGUUUAUACUGGUUUGGACUGGUUUGGACUGGUUUGGACUGGUUUGGGGUCGGGGGGCACUGGUUUGGACUGGGAGGGCACUGGGGGGACUGGGGGGGUCAGAAAGGGAUCCAUACUGGUCCAUACUGGUCCAUAUUACUCUAUAUUGAUCCAUACUGGUCUAUACUGGUUUAUACUGGUCCAUACUGGUCCAUACUGGUCUAUACUGGUCUAUACUGGACGUGCAGAUCAUCGUGACGGGGGCCCCUUGUCCAUACUGGUCCAUACUGGUCCAUAUUACUCUAUAUUGCUCCAUACUGGUCUAUACUGGUUUAUACUGGUCCAUACUGGUUUAUACUGGUUUCUGGGCAGCUGGACGUGCAGAUCAUCGUGACGGGGGCCCCUUGUCCCUACUGGUCCAUACUGGUCCAUACUGGUCCAUAUUGUUCUAUAUUGAUCCAUACUGGUUUAUACUGGUUUAUACUGGUCCAUACUGGUCCAUACUGGUCCAUACUGGUCCAUACUGGCCCAUAUUACUCCCUAGUGGUUUAUACUGGUCUAUACUGGUCCAUACUGGUCCAUACUGGUUUAUACUGGUCCAUACUGGUUUAUACUGGUCUAUACUGGUCUAUACUGGUCUAUACUGGUCCAUACUGGUCUAUACUGGUCUAUACUGGUCCAUACUGGUUUCCUGCCCAGCUGGACGUGCAGAUCAUCGUGACGGGGGCCCCCCGGCACGGGGGCCGCCCCCUGGGCACGUACCUGCAGUACCUGGAGCACCUGGGCCAGCACCGGCCCCCGCCCUCGGCCUACGAGCUCUACGCCCGCGGCUACGAGGACUACCUGCAGAGCCCCCUGCAGGUGGGCGGGGCCUCGCGGGGAGGGGGCGUGGCCUCGCAGGGGGGAGGGCCGAAGAUGGGGGCGGCGUGGGGGGUUG